rnacentral:tRNA from 1 species
GCGUCCGUAGCUCAGUCGGCAAGAGCAUGGCCGUCCGAAGGCCAAGGCCGGUGGUUCAAGUCCAUCCGGACGCA